GACGAACGCUGGCGGCGUGCUUAACACAUGCAAGUCGAACGGAAAGGCCCUGCUUUUGUGGGGUGCUCGAGUGGCGAACGGGUGAGUAACACGUGAGUAACCUGCCCUUGACUUUGGGAUAACUUCAGGAAACUGGGGCUAAUAUCGGAUAGGAGCUCCUGCUGCAUGGUGGGGGUUGGAAAGUUUCGGCGGUUGGGGAUGGACUCGCGGCUUAUCAGCUUGUUGGUGGGGUAGUGGCUUACCAAGGCUUUGACGGGUAGCCGGCCUGAGAGGGUGACCGGCCACAUUGGGACUGAGAUACGGCCCAGACUCCUACGGGAGGCAGCAGUGGGGAAUAUUGCACAAUGGGCGGAAGCCUGAUGCAGCAACGCCGCGUGCGGGAUGACGGCCUUCGGGUUGUAAACCGCUUUCGCCUGUGACGAAGCGUGAGUGACGGUAAUGGAUAAAGAAGCACCGGCUAACUACGUG
rnacentral:rRNA from 1 species